GUGAGGAAUAUUGCGCAAUGGACGGAAGUCUGACGCAGCAACGCCGCGUGGGCGAAGAAGGCCUUCGGGUCGUAAAGCCCUUUUCUGAGGGACGAGGCAGGACGGUACCUCAGGAAUCAGUCUCGGCUAACUACGUGCCAGCAGCCGCGGUAAAACGUAGGAGGCAAGCGUUAUCCGGAUUUAUUGGGCGUAAAGCGCAUGCAGGUGGUUCCGCAAGUCGGGUGUGAAAGCUCCUGGCUUAACUGGGAGAGGUCGUUCGAAACUGCGGGACUGGAGGUCGGAAGAGGGAAGCGGAAUUCCCGGUGUAGUGGUGGAAUGCGUAGAUAUCGGGAGGAACACCAGUGGCGAAAGCGGCUUCCUGGUCCGCACCUGACACUCAGAUGCGAAAGCGUGGGGAGCGAACGGGAUUAGAAACCCCUGUAGUCC
rnacentral:rRNA from 1 species